rnacentral:rRNA from 1 species
GCCGACUUCCAUGGCCACCGUCCUGCUGUCUUUAGUUACUAACGCCUUUUGUGGGGUCCGAUAUGCGUUGAUUUUGGCACUUUAACUUUACGACCGGUUCAUCCCGCAUCGCCAGUUCUGCUUACCAAAAAUGGCCCACUAAAGGCCUUUACUAUCUAUCCAUUUGCUACGUAGCACGCUAGCGUAAUGGAAUGCACACACAUUAACAGUUUGAGAAUAGGUUGAGAACGUUUCGAACCCAACGACUCUAAUCAUUCGCUUUACCGCAUGUGACUAUCUUUCUUUCUUUCUUUCUUUCUUUAGACCUCAGCUAUCCUUAGGGAAACUUCGAAAGGAACCAGCUACUAGAUGAUUCGAUUGGUCUUUCGCCCCUAUACAAAGCUCUGAUGAUCGAUUUGCACGUCAGAACCAUUGCGGACCUCCACCAGAGUUUCCCCUGGCUUCAUCCUUUCCAUGCAUAGUUCACCAUCUUUCGGGUUCCAGAGCACGAGCUACGAGUACGGCAACGCCAACAAACAAGUAACAACAACAAGGUAUUGCUACCCGCUGCUGCUACCCGCUGCUAACGCUAAAUUGCCAUCUCCGAUUUGCCUAGACAAAUAUAUAUUGUGUUUUCUUUGUCUCAUCAUACAAACACACAGGCCAACGCACACACACAUACACAAAGUAUAUGUAUAUGUACGAAGACUCUCAAUUGCUUUCGUUAAGUUUGACGGAUUCUAUAUAUUGAACCUUUGCGUCACGCUCGUUCGCUGGACUCCUUGGUCC